GCAGGGAUGGCAGAGUGGUCAAAUGCAAUUGGCUGUAAACCAAUCGCCUCCGGGCUACACAGGUUCGAAUCCUGUUCCCUGCACCA
rnacentral:tRNA from 1 species